AGCCACUUUGCCUAGCCACAUUCUCAUCUGCAGCAGGAUACCUAAGUCUACCUGAACAGAUGUUAACCUAUUCCAUACACAGCGAAAUGGCUACACACAGGAGGUCCAGGAGCCUGGAGCAGCGCUGGCACAUGACUGGGAGGAGCAGCCCCUGCCACAGGGCGACUGGGCUCCGCACUCAAGUGGGGUACACACAAACAAGCUUUUCUGCAUCACCCAGUGGCGCCACGAUGACUUCCCAGACGACGGUGUGAGCGCCCGUGGUAGCCCGAAAGCCAGCCCCUGUAGGAAACUUGAAGAUUUUAAAGUAGGAAGUACGGAAACUGUUAGGAGAUUCCUCCUCCCGCAGACAAGCACUUUCUCCUCCUAACUCCUGUCUUUUUCAUUCUUCCUUAACUAGUUCCUAGAAAUAUCUGCCGCUGUUCCUUUUCUGGUCUUGUAUAUGUAAAUCAAAGUCAAAUGCUUCCCAGUCUCGCGCUCCGAGUCUAGGUUUUCACCUCCUUUGUUAACUAUAAAAGUUUUCUCUUCCCGUGCUUCGUUAACCUGCUCAUUAAAUGAUUUUUUUAAAAGU